CUGGGCGUAAAAGCGAGCGUAGGUGGCUUGAUAAGUCAGAUGUGAAAUCCCCGGGCUUAACCUGGGAACUGCAUCUGAUACUGUUAAGCUAGAGUAGGUGAGAGGGAAGUAGAAUUCCAGGUGUAGCGGUGAAAUGCGUAGAGAUCUGGAGGAAUACCGAUGGCGAAGGCAGCUUCCUGGCAUCAUACUGACACUGAGGCUCGAAAGCGUGGGUAGCAAACAGGAUUAGAUACCCUGGUAGUCCACGCCGUAAACGAUGUCUACUAGUCGUUGGGUCCCUUGAGGACUUAGUGACGCAGCUAACGCAAUAAGUAGACCGCCUGGGGAGUACGGCCGCAAGGUUAAAACUCAAAUGAAUUGACGGGGGCCCGCACAAGCGGUGGAGCAUGUGGUUUAAUUCGAUGCAACGCGAAGAACCUUACCUGGUCUUGACAUACACAGAAUCUUGUAGAGAUACGAGAGUGCCUUCGGGAAUUGUGAUACAGGUGCUGCAUGGCUGUCGUCAGCUCGUGUCGUGAGAUGUUGGGUUAAGUCCCGCAACGAGCGCAACCCUUGUCCUUAGUUACCAGCGGGUUAAGCCGGGAACUCUAAGGAUACUGCCAGUGACAAACUGGAGGAAGGCGGGGACGACGUCAAGUCAUCAUGGCCCUUACGACCAGGGCUACACACGUGCUACAAUGGUAGGUACAGAGGGCAGCUACACAGCGAUGUGAUGCGAAUCUCAAAAAGCCUAUCGUAGUCCAGAUUGGAGUCUGCAACUCGACUCCAUGAAGUAGGAAUCGCUAGUAAUCGCGGAUCAGAAUGCCGCGGUGAAUACGUUCCCGGGCCUUGUACACACCGCCCGUCACACCAUGGGAGUUGAUUGCACCAGAAGUGGUUAGCCGAACCUUUUAGGACGGCGAUCAC
rnacentral:rRNA from 1 species